rnacentral:sRNA from 2 species
GCUACAUGCCCAUUUUAAUAACUUUGAAUUUGUUUUUCCAAAGAAACAUAGAUAUCAAGAUCAAAUCCUUUUUAUGAACCUAAAUCAACUCCUCCUCCAAAUAAUUUGGUAAAUCCUGUUCAAGAACUAGAAACUGAAAGGCGAGUGAAAAGAAAGGCCCCGGCUCCACCAGUCCUCUCACCAAAAACAGGAGUAGUAAAUGAAAACACAGUUUCUGCAGGAAAAGAUCUCUCUACUUCUCCUAAGAAAUUUUAAUAUGUGAUGACUACAUGGAAAGGUAAAACACCUUUGGAACAAAACCUAAAGCUAUUAAACGAUUCCAUUGUAAAUAA